rnacentral:rRNA from 1 species
GACGAACGCUGGCGGCGUGCUUAACACAUGCAAGUCGAACGGAGUGGCGAACGGGUGAGUAACACGUGGGUGAUCUGCCUUGCACUUCGGGAUAAGCUUGGGAAACUGGGUCUAAUACCGGAUAGUGCAAGAUGAGCUAGCGGCCUCUCAGCUUUUUGGUGGGGUAAUGGCCUACCAAGGCGUCGACGGGUGGCCGGCCUGAGAGGGUGUACAGCGACAUUGGGGCUGAGAUACGGCCCAGUCUCCUACGGGAGGCAGCGGGGGGGAAGAUUGCACAAUGGUCUGAAGCCUGAUGCAGGGACGUCGCGUGGGGGAUGUAGGCCUUCGGGUUGUAAACUCCUUUCGACAGGGACGCGGUACCUGUAUAAGAAGCACCGGCUAACUACGUGCCAGCAGCCGCGGUAAUAC